rnacentral:snoRNA from 1 species
CCCUCCUACAAAGGCAUAUCUGUAGUUCCUUGUCUGUGGACAUCUAAGAAUUGGAGGCAAAAAAAAUGUGGAUGUGGAAAUUCCUGGGACAACCUGUUCUCCACAGGCUGAAGAUCAACCAUUCCACAUGG